AUUGAACGCUGGCGGCAGGCCUAACACAUGCAAGUCGAGCGGAGCGGCGGACGGGUGAGUAAUGCCUAGGAAUCUGCCUGGUAGUGGGGGAUAACGUCCGGAAACGGGCGCUAAUACCGCAUACUAUCAGAUGAGCCUAGGUCGGAUUAGCUAGUUGGUGGGGUAACGGCUCACCUAGGCGACGAUCCCUAGCUGGUCUGAGAGGAUGACCAGCCACACUGGAAUUGAGACACGGUCCAGACGCCUACGGGAGGCAGCAGUGGGGAAUAUUUCACAAUGGGCGCAAGCCUGAUGCAGCCAUGCCGCGUGGGUGAAGAAGGCUUUCGGGUUGUAAAGCACUUUCAUCGGGGAGGCGUGACCCGCAGAGGAAGCACCGGCUAACUCCGUGCCAGCAGCCGCGGUAAUAC
rnacentral:rRNA from 1 species